rnacentral:RNase_P_RNA from 1 species
GAGAGGGAGAGUGCGGCUGACGGUGGCCGGGGUGACCCGGCCGCUGAGGAAAGUCCCCCCACCACCUGGACACGCAGCCAUACGCAAGUAUGGGUGGCGAGAGUCACGGCAAUGGCACAGAAACGACACGCCCUGCCCACAGUCAUGAUGCGGCCGAGCCCUUCGGGGCGAGAAGUGCCGAAAGGCGCGAGUUAACCCGCUGAGCGUAUGGGGCAGGAACCGGUGAAACGGUGAACCCCUGCGGGUGCAAGCCAGAACAGGGUAUUGUGGCUGUCCAGGCACUACCCGGGUAUGGCGCAGAGCCGAAUGCCGCACAGAACAGAAGGGGGCUUACUCCUCCCACUC